GUAGGUGAACCUGCGGAAGGAUCAUUACCGAGUCCUCCUGUUUUGCAGGAACUCCCACCCUUGAAGACAAAACAUGUUGCUUCGGCAAGACGUCUUGACGACCAUCGGAGUUUAGAUUUCGAUGUGCGCUUGCCGGAGUUAUAAACUCUGAACUUAUGAAUUGUCAGAUAAAACAAGCAAUAAAUAAAAACUUUCAACAACGGAUCUCUUGGUUUUG
rnacentral:misc_RNA from 1 species